AGCGACAUGCGAAAUCCCUGUGAAGCAAGCGUUGACCAAUUACUCGAAGAUCUAAAUCUUUUCUGUUAUUAACAAGCCAUAACUUAUUUUCUUCACAUUUUGCAAUGAAAAUUGACAUCAAUUGGAGAAUCAAUCUCUCUAAGGAAAUCCCCUGAAAAAUAGAUUCAUCGUAGGUCAUGCAAUUAAAACCGACUUUCGGCAGUUCAAUUUCUUGCAAUUCUUGUAUUCCUUUAGUAAGCACAAUCGAUCCUAUUGUUUUUUUCACCCUCAUUAAUUUCUCAAUCUCUAGGGAAGUAAAACUUUCAAUUAACAAAUCGCCCAAAUCAGUAGAUCUAGUCUUAAAAAACAAAACAGUUAA